CCUACGGGAGGCAGCAGUGAGGAAUAUUGGUCAAUGGGCGCGAGCCUGAACCAGCCAAGUCGCGUGAAGGAUGACUGUCCUACGGGUUGUAAACUUCUUUUAUAAGGGAAUAAAGUGAGGCACGUGUGCCUUUUUGUAUGUACUUUAUGAAUAAGGAUCGGCUAACUCCGUGCCAGCAGCCGCGGUAAUCCUGAGGAUCCGAGCGUUAUCCGGAUUUAUUGGGUUUAAAGGGAGCGUAGAUGGGUUGUUAAGUCAGUUGUGAAAGUGUGCGGCUCAACCGUAAAAUUGCAGUUGAUACUGGCAGCCUUGAGUACAGGUGAGGUAGGCGGAAUGCGUGGUGUAGCGGUGAAAUGCAUAGAUAUCACGAAGAACUCCGAUUGCGAAGGCAGCUUACUAAACUGCCACUGACAUUGAGGCUCGAAAGUGUGGGUAUCAAACAGGAUUAGAUACCCUUGUAGUC
rnacentral:rRNA from 1 species